AAAAGGUGUUCCCUUGCUCUAGUCAUCAGUAUGUAUUGCUUGUGGGUGAUCAAUCCACCACUCAACACCAAGAAGCAUGAGCCGAUAUGUAUCUGAUGAAAGACUACUACAUCAAUAACACUUUCCAUAUCUUUCUCAUAUAAACGAACAGAGACCACACAGCAAGCCACGCUGAUAUAUAUAGCAACAUCACACCGGAACCCACAAGAGAGGCAGCUCCAGAUAAACUGCUAUCUCUGGUUAGCAGGAGGAUGGUCAAUGCAAUCAUCUGGGUGGCAGUUUUCCAUUUCCCGAGGUUAUUCACAGCUACAGCCUCUGAAAGUUUACCACCCUGAGAAGCCGCCCAUUCUCUAACUGCAGACAUAGUUAUCUACAAAAAGAUUUGCAAAAUGAAUCAAAAAACAGUGUUUAUCACUCAUCCACAAUGA
rnacentral:misc_RNA from 1 species